UACGUAGGGGCCUAGCGUUGUCCGGAUUUAUUGGGCGUAAAGGGCUCGUAGGCGGUUUGUUGCGUCGGAAGUGAAAUCUUACAGCUUAACUGUGAACUUGCUUUCGAUACGGGCAGACUUGAGGCAUUCAGGGGAGAACGGAAUUCCUGGUGUAGCGGUGAAAUGCGCAGAUAUCAGGAGGAACACCGGUGGCGAAGGCGGUUCUCUGGGAAUGUACUGACGCUGGAGGAGCGAAAGUGUGGGGAGCGAACAGG
rnacentral:rRNA from 1 species